GGGAAGACAGAACAGAAUAUCCAAUUGAAGUGUCCGAAUCCAAAAAAGAAAAAAGGACUUAACAAGCUUAAGCACUCAAGUAACCAAAAAACAAGACAAAAACCUCUUGAUGAUCACCAUUUUCUUUGAGGCUCUCUCUACAGCUUCCAAGUUGACCAAGGAUGCAAAGAUCAUCUGCCUUUGUUUACUUAGAAUGAAUCCUUAACGUCAGUGUCUAAAACCUCUCAUUUCAAGUGCUAUAUAUCAAGGGUUUGGAAACUUUGGGCAAUUCAAAUAUGUAUUCUGAAUAUGGCUCCUCUAGGUAUCAAAACUUACUUCAUGAGUCCGGAAAACAGUGGUGAAAGCAUUUAGCUCCAUCCAUCGCAUGAGCAACUCUUCACUUCGGUGGUACUUAAUAAAAGGUAAGUUUACUGCACAAUAGCCUCCGAUAUCGCUAUGAUUGAAAGCAUAUCCAGAAAUUCCACUGCUCAGUAGGCCAACAACAGAACUUUUUAUUCCAUCAUUGGCCUGCCAACUUACCAUUUGAUCUCCUUCCCAAAAUAGCAUCCCCCAUUUGGGGCUAUCCCUGAAACCAGCCCUCAUGAAGAAGACCAAAGCCUCUUCUGGGUCUUCUCUCUCCUUACCUGCACGACCUGACUUCCAUUCUUCCACAAACUCUCGGUUUAUUUGGGCCCAUAGCUCUGGGUAUCUAUUAUGAGCUGAUAUAGGAUCUUCACCUGAAAUAAUUAAUCCAAAGUGAUAAGUAUAUCUCUAUUGCACAUGAAUCCUAGCUUCUGGAAGAAACAUGUUAGAACUUUUCUUCUGUUACCUGAAUAGAGAGUUGCAUCUACAGGCAGUCCUUCACCGAAAUCAGCCAUCCACCCUUUCACACCAUCAUCAACCAUUUCCUGUAAAACCUGCUUAAACCAAGCAGCAGUAUCUGGGUGUGUCAGGUCCAACAUGCCCACAUCAAAUGCUGUAUUUGGAACCAUAUAUGGUUCUCCAUACUUGUCUUUCACCAGGAUAUCCAGCUUUUUUGCCUCCUCAAAAAGGUUUCUCCUUUGGUUUGGUUUCUCAUCAGUCUGUUUAAAGCAAAGCAACCAAGUCUCAAACUCUCAGAUGAUCAUGUAUUGAAAUUUUUACAAAUUACAAUAGUAGUACCAUAAGUUCUUGGAAAAAGAAAAAUACCGGAGCUAGACAAGGAUUACAGUAUGUCAUCACAUUAAUAUUCUUUGCACCGAGAUCGUUAAUUAGCUGCUGCCAUCCAUGAUACCUCGUUGUAUCUACCUCCCAAUUCCACCACAGUUGUGAUCCAAUCAUUGUCUCCCUCUGCCCUACCCAAUCCUGCAAAUGAAGUGCUUCAGGGUACAGGGAAUACCUGCAACCAAAAGGCUGAAACAGGAACCUUGUGAUCCUUCAAUUCAUCCCAAACACGUCGUACAGCUUCUGUACCACCUUGCAUUCCAACAACAGCCCCAGAUAUAAUCCACUUAGGAAGCUCAGGAGGUCUCCCGAUAGUUUCUGUGAAGUUUUCAAUAAUCUCAGAAGGUAAAGAGACCUCAUCUUAGAUGUCAUGUAGAAUGGUGAAGGAGCAUAAGUUGUACUCCAAUCGCCCCCAGCCCUGCAAUAGAAAGAAACAAAGCUAACCAAGUUAGCAGCAAAAGUAAUUGGUUGGUCUCCUCUUCCAAUUCCUUGCUCUUGAACAAAAAUGGGCACCCUUUUGCCUUUGAAGUCCAUAUGAGAGAACUGCUCCCCAAAACCGUAAAACCUUUCAUUUCCUU